rnacentral:lncRNA from 1 species
AGAGGAUAACUUCCGAAAGACCACUGAUGUGUAUUUAUUUGGGCACAAGGAUGUCUGGAGGGAGUAAAAGGCACAGAGGACAUCUUAAAGACAUCUUUCCUUUAGAACCCUGUCAAGGGAAGGGGGCUGAUUCUUGGCACCUAGCCCCAAAAGGCAAGACCAGGCCAUACUCCGAUACACGGUGCUUGAUUCGCUUCGCUGUCAGCACCAACACCUGAAAACCACUAGUAUCUUAUAAAAUGAUAAGAGCAAAGCUAAGCAGCUAAAAACUCAGGUUGACUAAUAAAUUUUGAAUGUUCAAAGGCAUACACUCAUACCCAGCAGCAAAAGCCCCUGACACCUGGUGAUUUUAAAUCCCAUCAAGUUGGCAAUUAAGAUAAACCAUUACAAGACUUCAUGAAAUUAAGCUUCUGAGAGACAAGAAAGAGAAACAAGUGAAAAGCUCCAGCUCCUGCUCAGGCUCAUGCUUCUGUCUGCUAGAUGGAGCUUCAGCUACUUAUUCAGCAUUAUGCCUGCCUGCCUGCCUGCCUGCCUGCCUGCCUGCCAUUGUGCUCCCCACCAUGAUGAAAACAGACUUGUCUCUGAAACUUGUCCCCAAUUAAAUGCGUUAUAAUAU